CUGGCCUUGACAUCCAGAGAACUUUCCAGAGACCUUUUGGUGCCUUCGGGAACUCUGAGACAGGUGCUGCAUGGCCGUCGUCAGCUCGUGUCGUGAGAUGUUGGGUUAAGUCCCGUAACGAGCGCAACCCCUAUCCCUGGUUGCUAGCAGGUAAUGCUGAGAACUCCAGGGAGACUGCCGGUGACAAACCGGAGGAAGGUGGGGAUGACGUCAGGUCAUCAUGGCCCUUACGGCCAGGGCUACACACGUGCUACAAUGGCGCGUACAGAGGGCUGCCAACUCGCGAGAGUGAGCCAAUCCCUUAAAACGCGUCGUAGUCCGGAUCGGAGUCUGCAACUCGACUCCGUGAAGUCGGAAUCGCUAGUAAUCGCGAAUCAGAAUGUCGCGGUGAAUACGUUCCCGGGUCUUGUA
rnacentral:rRNA from 1 species